AUUGAACGCUGGCGGCAGGCUUAACACAUGCAAGUCGAGCGGGGUGAUGGUGCUUGCACUAUCACUUAGCGGCGGACGGGUGAGUAAUGCUUAGGAAUCUGCCUAUUAGUGGGGGACAACAUCUCGAAAGGGAUGCUAAUACCGCAUACGUCCUACGGGAGAAAGCAGGGGAUCACUUGUGACCUUGCGCUAAUAGACGAGCCUAAGUCGGAUUAGCUAGUUGGUGGGGUAAAGGCCUACCAAGGCGACGAUCUGUAGCGGGUCUGAGAGGGUGAGCCGCCAAACUGGGACUGAGCCACGGGCCAGACUCCUACGGGAGGCAGCAGUGGGGAAUAUUGGACAAUGGGGGGAACCCUGAUCCAGCCAUGCCGCGUGUGUGAAGAAGGCCUUAUGGUUGUAAAGCACUUUAAGCGAGGAGGAGGCUCUUUUGGUUAAUACCCAAGAUGAGUGGACGUUACUCGCAGAAUAAGCACCGGCUAACUCUGUGCCAGCCGCCGCGGUAA
rnacentral:rRNA from 1 species